CUCCUGUUAGACAUGACAUUUAUAGUUGUAUCAACCCUCCUGGCUGUCUGCCUAACAGGUGGACAUGGUCAGACACUGACUGAAUCUGAGCCAGUGGUCAUCAGUCCUGGAGGAUCUCACAAACUGACCUGCACAGCCUCUGGGUACACAUUCAGUGACUACUAUGCAGCUUGGAUCAGGCAGGCUUCCGGGAAAGGGUUGGAAUGGAUUGGAAGCAUGUACGACUCCUCCAGUAUCUACCGCUCUCAGGUUUUUCAGGGAAGGUUCACUAUCUCUAGAGACAACAGCAAAAGCCAGCUGUAUCUGCAGAUGAACAGUCUGAAGACUGAGGACACGGCUGUGUAUUACUGUGCCAGAGACGCACAGUGA